UACGAAGGGGGCUAGCGUUGCUCGGAAUCACUGGGCGUAAAGCGCACGUAGGCGGCUUCUUAAGUCAGGGGUGAAAUCCUGGAGCUCAACUCCAGAACUGCCUUUGAUACUGGGAAGCUUCGAGUCCGGAAGAGGUGAGUGGAACUGCGAGUGUAGAGGUGAAAUUCGUAGAUAUUCGCAAGAACACCAGUGGCGAAGGCGGCUCACUGGUCCGGUACUGACGCUGAGGUGCGAAGGCGUGGGGAGCAAACAGG
rnacentral:rRNA from 1 species